AAUGCCUGGUUCCCUUCGGGGCAUUGGAGACAGGUGGUGCAUGGUUGUCGUCAGCUCGUGUCGUGAGAUGUUGGGUUAAGUCCCGCAACGAGCGCAACCCUUACCUUCAGUAGCCAGCAUUUAAGGUGGGCACUCUGGAGGGACUGCCAGGGACAACCUGGAGGAAGGUGGGGAUGACGUCAAAUCAUCAUGCCCCUUAUGGCCAGGGCUACACACGUGCUACAAUGGCGUAAACAGAGGGAAGCGACCACGCGAGUGUGAGCAAAUCUCAAAAAUAACGUCUCAGUUCGGAUUGUAGUCUGCAACUCGACUACAUGAAGCUGGAAUCGCUAGUAAUCGCGGAUCAGAAUGCCGCGGUGAAUACGUUCCCGGGUCUUGUACACACCGCCCAUCACACCAUGGGAGUUGGAAACGCCCGAAGCCGGUGACCCAACCUAAACAGGAGGGAGCCGUCGAAGGCGGGUCCGAUGACUGGGGUGAAGUCGUAACAAGGUAGCCGUAUCGGAAGGUGCGGC
rnacentral:rRNA from 1 species